UACGUAGGGGCCGAGCGUUGUCCGGAGUUACUGGGCGUAAAGCGCGCGUAGGUGGUUUGUUAAGUCUGAUGUGAAAGCCCUGGGCUCAACCUGGGAAUUGCAUUGGAUACUGGCAGGCUAGAGUGCGGUAGAGGAUGGCGGAAUUCCCGGUGUAGCAGUGAAAUGCGUAGAGAUCGGGAGGAACAUCUGUGGCGAAGGCGGCCAUCUGGACCAGCACUGACACUGAGGCACGAAAGCGUGGGGAGCAAACGGG
rnacentral:rRNA from 1 species